GACGAACGCGGCGGCGUGCCUAAUACAUGCAAGUAGAACGCUGAAGGAGGAGCUUGCUUCUCUGGAUGAGUUGCGAACGGGUGAGUAACGCGUAGGUAACCUGCCUGGUAGCGGGGGAUAACUAUUGGAAACGAUAGCUAAUACCGCAUAAAAUUGAUUAUUGCAUGAUAGUCAAUUAAAAGGUGCAAUUGCAUCACUACCAGAUGGACCUGCGUUGUAUUAGCUAGUUGGUGAGGUAACGGCUCACCAAGGCAACGAUACAUAGCCGACCUGAGAGGGUGAUCGGCCACACUGGGACUGAGACACGGCCCAGACUCCUACGGGAGGCAGCAGUAGGGAAUCUUCGGCAAUGGACGGAAGUCUGACCGAGCAACGCCGCGUGAGUGAAGAAGGUUUUCGGAUCGUAAAGCUCUGUUGUAAGAGAAGAACGAGUGUGAGAGUGGAAAGUUCACACUGUGACGGUAUCUUACCAGAAAGGGACGGCUAACUACGUGCCAGCAGCCGCGGUAAUACGUAGGUCCCGAGCGUUGUCCGGAUUUAUUGGGCGUAAAGCGAGCGCAGGCGGUUAGAUAAGUCUGAAGUUAAAGGCUGUGGCUUAACCAUAGUACGCUUUGGAAACUGUUUAACUUGAGUGCAAGAGGGGAGAGUGGAAUUCCAUGUGUAGCGGUGAAAUGCGUAGAUAUAUGGAGGAACACCGGUGGCGAAAGCGGCUCUCUGGCUUGUAACUGACGCUGAGGCUCGAAAGCGUGGGGAGCAAACAGG
rnacentral:rRNA from 1 species